rnacentral:rRNA from 1 species
GAUGAACGCUAGCUACAGGCUUAACACAUGCAAGUCGAGGGACCGGCGCACGGGAGUGUAACCUGUAUCCAUCCUGCCCUUUACUCGGUGAUUGCUUUUCGCAAGAAAUAUUAAUACCUGACAUAAUGGUUGGGGAUGCGUUGCGUUAGGUUGUUGGUGAGGUAACGGCUCACCAAGCCUUCCAUGGCUGGGGGUUAUGAGAGGCAGGCCCCCUACAUUGGAACUGCGACACAGUCCAAACUCUGACGGGGGGCAGCAGUAAGGAAUAUUGGUCGAUGGGCGCGAGCCUGACCAAGCCGAGUAGAGGGAAGGAGGAAGGCUUAUGGAUCGUAAACUACUUGUAUAUAAGAAUAUGUAUUAGAUGAAUAAGGAUCGGCUAACUCCGUGCCAGCAGCCGCGGUAAUAC